AGCAGACCCUCUUCAAUAGAAUCCUUCUGAGCAUCACACAGUGAGCACAUCCGUUCCGCUACAAAGCUACUUGUUUAACUUCGAAGUUUCGUCUUUCUAAACAAUCAAGAUGCGUUUCUUCCUUGUUCUGUUGGCCCUGUGCUGCUUCCUGAGCGCCGGUUUCGCCCUUCCGUUGGCCAGAGGAAGAGCCACGUCCAGGGUUGCUAACGACAGAUACUUCGUCUCGCGACAGGGCAUCAGAGGGUACCGCCGCACUGAGUCAGGACGGCUGUACGUGCCCAAGAAUUUCCUCAGAUAAAAAGGGAGAAACGUGUGACAAAUGCAACGUUUAUCACACAUACGAAGAUCUCCUGUUAUUUAUUAUGUAUCACGAGAUGCGUGACAUGUUCCUAGGGUGUUCUCACGGUCUCAGUUUUGUCCAUAUCUAUAUAUCCUUAUAUUUUUUGUAACACUUUAUAGUCCUAUUUUUAUAUGCAAUUAAAGACACGAAAUGUU
rnacentral:lncRNA from 1 species